rnacentral:rRNA from 1 species
CACGUAGGGUGCGAGCGUUGUCCGGAAUUAUUGGGCGUAAAGAGCUCGUAGGCGGUGUGUCGCGUCGGCCGUGAAAACCUGCAGCUUAACUGUGGGCUUGCGGUCGAUACGGGCAUCACUGGAGUUCGGCAGGGGAGACUGGAAUUCCUGGUGUAGCGGUGAAAUGCGCAGAUAUCAGGAGGAACACCGGUGGCGAAGGCGGGGUCUCUGGGCCCGAUACUGACGCUGAGGAGCGAAAGCGUGGGGAGCGAACAGG